AUAAAAAUAAGUUAAAUAAACUUUUAGACUCAUAAUCUAAUUAUAGAAUUUUAAAUUCUUUUUUAUA
rnacentral:tRNA from 1 species